GAUUCCAGAGUCCACACUUCAGAGAAUGAAAGAGAAUGUGGCUCCUGAUCCAUUGACCUUUGAUCCAGGCCUUCAUACAAGCUCAGCCAUCCUGCCCCAGGUCAGCCAGCUCCUACAGGGCUGCAGGACAGACUGAAGACAAACUAACAGAGAAUGGGGAUUUCCAGGGUGGGACUUCUGCUCUCAGAAUGGUCUUGGAAAACAGUGGAUCUGCUCCACCCACAAAAGCAACAGGUUGGAGGCCCUGUUUCAUGGCACCUUGCUGGGCACUUUCACCUUCUUCACCUCACUCUCCUGAACUUGGGGGCAGGUGCCAUUAUCUUCAUUUUACAGUGUCUGGCAGAUCUGAGGUAACAAAGAACAAAACAAAUAUUUGACAAACGGAAUCCUUCGUAAAAGCAAGAG
ensembl:lncRNA